rnacentral:rRNA from 1 species
GGGCCACCGGCUUCAGGUGUUACCGACUUUCAUGACUUGACGGGCGGUGUGUACAAGACCCGGGAACGUAUUCACCGCAGCGUUGCUGAUCUGCGAUUACUAGCGACUCCGACUUCAUGAGGUCGAGUUGCAGACCUCAAUCCGAACUGGGACCGGCUUUUUGGGAUUCGCUCCACCUCGCGGUAUUGCAGCCCUUUGUACCGGCCAUUGUAGCAUGCGUGAAGCCCAAGACAUAAGGGGCAUGAUGAUUUGACGUCAUCCCCACCUUCCUCCGAGUUGACCCCGGCAGUAUCCCAUGAGUUCCCACCAUUACGUGCUGGCAACAUAGAACGAGGGUUGCGCUCGUUGCGGGACUUAACCCAACAUCUCACGACACGAGCUGACGACAACCAUGCACCACCUGUUCACGAGUGUCCAAAGAGUUCUACAUUUCUGCAGCGUUCUCGUGUAUGUCAAGCCUUGGUAAGGUUCUUCGCGUUGCAUCGAAUUAAUCCGCAUGCUCCGCCGCUUGUGCGGGUCCCCGUCAAUUCCUUUGAGUUUUAGCCUUGCGGCCGUACUCCCCAGGCGGGGAACUUAAUGCGUUAGCUGCGUCACGGAAUCCGUGGAAUGGACCCCACAACUAGUUCCCAACGUUUACGGGGUGGACUACCAGGGUAUCUAAGCCUGUUUGCUCCCCACCCUUUCGCUCCUCAGCGUCAGUUACGGCCCAGAGAUCUGCCUUCGCCAUCGGUGUUCCUCCUGAUAUCUGCGCAUUCCACCGCUACACCAGGAAUUCCAAUCUCCCCUACCGCACUCUAGUCUGCCCGUACCCACUGCAGGCCCGAGGUUGAGCCUCGGGUUUUCACAGCAGACGCGACAAACCGCCUACGAGCUCUUUACGCCCAAUAAUUCCGGAUAACGCUUGCGCCCUACGUAUUACCGCGGCUGCUGGCACGUAGUUAGCCGGCGCUUUUUCUGCAGGUACCGUCACUUUCGCUUCUUCCCUGCUAAAAGAGGUUUACAACCCGAAGGCCGUCAUCCCUCACGCGGCGUUGCUGCAUCAGGCUUCCGCCCAUUGUGCAAUAUUCCCCACUGCUGCCUCCCGUAGGAGUCUGGGCCGUGUCUCAGUCCCAGUGUGGCCGGUCACCCUCUCAGGCCGGCUACCCGUCGACGCCUUGGUGAGCCAUUACCUCACCAACAAGCUGAUAGGCCGCGAGCCCAUCCCAAACCGAAAAAUCUUUCCAACCACGAAGAUGCCUCCGCAGCUCAUAUCCAGUAUUAGACGCCGUUUCCAGCGCUUAUCCCAGAGUUCAGGGCAGGUUGCUCACGUGUUACUCACCCGUUCGCCACUGAUCCACCAAGCAAGCUUGGCUUCACC